CAGCAUCACAUCCCUAACAACCACUUCCUGUUUCACGUUCGUGUACAAUAAUGUCGGUAACAGUGGUGCAGCAGUCUUUGACCAUGACAACCCCCCCGCUGUAAUUCUGCCCGUCCGCAGCCAAUAAAGAUAAGAGACGGACGUCUGGAAUGCCGCAGGAAGGUGACACUGAGGGGAUGGAGAAAAGGAAAAGACGCACCGUGCGUGACACUCUCAGCUGUUGCUCGGCUGACGUCAGGAAGAAGAAAAACCGUCGAAAUCCCACAUUCUCCCCGAGGGAGUCCCGGCCCGGCCCGGCCCGGCCCGGCAGAAAAAGCUCUUUUAAGCAUUCUGAAGAAGCGGCCGGCAACGAGGACGACAACGGGAGUCCGAGUAGAUGUGGGAAAAGUCAAUGAAGACUUUGAGGAGGCGGCCGACGACGAGCGGCGGACGAACCGAGAGGAGUCCAAAAAAGACAAGUCGUGGGAAAAAAAGAUGAGAGGCGACGAGAGUGAUGAGUUGGAAUCUGACGAGCGAAGGGAUGGCGACUUAUGUGGAAAAGAAAGGCAAGGCGCAUGUUAAAAAGAGGGAGGAAGAAGCCCAGCAAAAAAAGAAGGGAGUCGCAACAGAAGCCUUGUACCGCCGCCAACACAACAAAGAGGGCAGCCAGCCAGCCAGCCAGCCAACCAGCCAGCCAGCCAGCAGCGAACAUUCCUGCCGCCUUUACGAGCUGGCCCGGACACGCCCCUUUCACUGGCACCCCAUUAAGGUGGGUCGCAUUCAUCGUGGCAAAGGCCAACUGUCAUUGUAAUCCCAUUAAAACAACAAACGACACAUGUGGGCUGAAAGCAUUCAUUAGAGGCGGGCGGCUGGUUUAAAACGAUGCAGAUCUUGUUAACGUUCGGCAAACUUUCUGACCAUAUCCAAAAGAAGUAGAAAAUAGAAAACCAAAUCUUAUCUUGCCAGUCCUUCUGACUUUUGGGCAAGAUUUGAAACUAAACAAAAUAAGGCGAGGACACUUGCUUUUAGAUGAUGUGUAAUAAUAAUUAUACAAUUGUUAAGAUCAAUAUUUAGAGGCAACAUAAACAUAACAUAAAAGUCGCCAUUAAACAUUUGGGUCAUAAUCAAAAGAAAACAAAUUGUCUGGGAUUCAUUCAUGAAAAUCCAUUUACAAAAGGUCAUCAGUCGUACAUGAAGAUGUUAGUGACAGAGUGUCAUUCAUUCAUUCGUUCAUUCGUUCGUUCCUUCAUUCAUUAGUCAUUGGUUGCUCAAGCUCUCAAAUCAAACGGAUGUGACUCACUGGCCGUGUUAGGAAUCACUUGCUGCUCUAAAAGGAAAAUAGCCCAUAAUGCAUCGCUCAAAAAGAACAUUUUAGUUUGUAGAUUUCAUUUGAUUUCUUUUUCUGAAUCUAGUCAAUAUUUAGCAAGUGGACCAAGGCGUCCGUACGCAGAUGGCGCUUCGGUUAGAGAACCAUACUUUUAGGGUUAGAGUGAAAUCAUGAAGGGGCGUGGCCAAACGAGUGACAUCAUGUUCCCCAUCGAAACACAUUUAAAUGCCAUAAAUCCUUUCUGAAAAGGAAAUGUAGCAAUGAAAUGUUUCAAAAUACAGUGGUGGAUUUAAAAGUGUCUCAAGCAAAUUGAAAUCAAUCAAUCAGUGCACAAACUUUUUUUUCUCCGUAAGGGGGCGUUGUUGUUAGGCCAGCGUCUUGCUGUGCUUGUUCACCAGCACGAUAUCGAUGGCCCGCGCCUUCAUCUCGCGCGCCAUCUGGCACCAAACGCACGCCGUGCAGAAAGUGGCGCACACGCAAUCGUUGAACAUGGAGCCCUGACAAAAGAAAGGAAAAGAAAAGAAAAGAAAAGAAAAGAUGAUUUUUGCAAACCAAAAGGUUGCCUGACUGACUCUGUGUGCUGACGCCGUCUUACCCACCCGUAUGCCGUACAAGUGGCGCAUGGACACCCUGGUGGACAUGGCGACAGGAUGCACUAUCGGGCUGAGCAGACAGUCCACCAGGGGGAGGCAGAGGCACUCGCCGUACUUCUUGGCCGUCAUGCAUGCGAAGCAAGGUAAGCACCAGAACCCGCAGCAGCCUUCCUUGCAGCCAGCAACACAACACACAACACACAAACAAACAAACAAACAAACAAACAAACAAACACACAAACAAACAAACAAACAAACAAACAAACA